CCGGCGAAUGCCGGUGGAACUACAGAACGGCGUGGUAACGGGUUCGACUCCUGUGCGCCUCACGGCGCUAGCUCAACGGUAGAGCGUGCUGCAAUGUUUCACCUGACCCUUGUCGCCGUUUA
rnacentral:Y_RNA from 1 species